CGUGAGUGAAGAAGGCUUUCGGGUCGUAAAGCUCUGUCAGAUAGGAAAAAAGUUCAUUUGUCAAUAGCUUAUGAAUCUGAUGGUACUAUCAGAGGAAGCACCGGCUAACUCCGUGCCAGCAGCCGCGGUAAUACGGAGGGUGCUAGCGUUGUUCGGAAUUAUUGGGCAUAAAGGGCGUGUAGGCGGUAUGGUAAGUCAGAUGUGAAAGCCCUGGGCUUAACCCAGGAAGUGCAUUUGAUACUGUCAUACUUGAGUAUGGGAAAAAAAAAUAGAAUUCCCAGUGUAGAGGUGAAAUUCGUAGAUAUUGGGAGGAACAUCCGUGGCGAAGGCGACUCUCUGGACCAAUACUGACGCUGAGACGCGAAAGCGUGGGGAGCAAACAGGAUUAGAUACCCUGGUAGUCCACGCCGUAAACGAUGAGAACUAGGUGUAGCGGGUAUUGACCCCUGCUGUGCCGAAGUUAACGCAUUAA
rnacentral:rRNA from 1 species